rnacentral:rRNA from 1 species
ACAUGUCUACAAAAUAGCAUUAAUGCAUCGGAUCCCAUUAGAACUCUGCAGUUAAGCACACUCGGGCUAGAGUAGUAGUGGGAUGGGUGACUUCCCAAGAAGUCCUAGUGUUUUACAUACC